rnacentral:sRNA from 1 species
ACUAACAGUUAGAGUAACCCACUCGUUUAUUCACGUCCAUAAGAUCUGAAUCCAAAAUUAUUAGACAUCUACUAUAAACAUGCCUCGAGAUUCGGGAGUUUAAUUUAGAAAAGCAAAGCUGAAGAGAUAUCACACCAAAUAACACAAAAAGUAACGACCAAAAUUCAACUAAUUGUAAAUGAUAAACCGUUUUUUGCGGAAUAAAUAACUUGAGAAUCUUCCAACACAGAAAACAAGAAGAGAGAAAAGUAAACUGGCAGGUAAUUUUAAUAGGGGACGACGACGAAACACAGGACAAUAUAAAGAAACAUAAACUUAGAGAGUCGCUGCGACCGACCACAGUAACCCAACGAGAGCUUCUCUCUCAGCACUUGACCUCCUUCAAACCAUGAGCGAAGUACAAAAAUGUUGGGUUAGUUGAACCCUCCUUGUAGUAAGCAAAGACCAAAGUGCUGUCAUCAUGCAUACCCUCCCCAACAAAGCUGUAAAAUCAGACAACACAAGCAUUGAUGAGAUUUCAGAUGAAAUAU